rnacentral:lncRNA from 1 species
UAGGAUCAUUCCCUUUUGAGGAGCAAUAUAAAGACAUGAACUUAAAAUAGACAUGGCAUUGGCUCUUAUCUCAUGCUCGCUCACCCUUUGACAACCAGAAACCAGGGCGACUUAAAAACCUAGCACUCACUACUCUUCAGUUGCCGUAAUUUUAUUAGUCUGGUCACAUGACAGUGACAGGUGUGAGACACAACCUGGUAUCCAGGUGAAACUUAUGAAAACAGCUUCAUAGCUAAUGACACUGUCAAACCACAGAACCCCUGCCUUUACGCCCAAUAUUAAAACACUUCUACAUCCAAAAACCAAGGGGAGAAACAGAGGUACAGUGUUCAGAACUGAACAGCAAGUUAUAAAACUUCAAACACAAGACAAUAUAUUGAAAACCUAGUGGCACCAAAUCUGCGAUGCUGUUUAUUACUUGGUGAACCUCUCCUUUUAACAUCUGGGUCACCACUAACUAUCUAGGAUUACCAGACAACACUGCUUCCCACCCAUGUUUAAAGUACUACUAAGUACUACCUAAAACAUCACCCAUGCUGGGAAGUGGACCCAGUGACUAAGUACCCGGUUCAGCGGUCGCCAGCAGUAUUUCACUUUGGGUGGUAGCUGGUCUCUAGCAUGGGAGUUGUAGAACAAGGCAGUUCGGCUGCAACGACCGAGAUUUUCACCGCCCAACACCAAAGUUUGCCAAGGCGCCGGUGAACGCACAGAUCCAUGGCAGCCCUAGCCCAGUGGCAGUGAGUCACAGAGGACACACAUUUUAUGUUUCAUAAUGAAAGCGUGGACAACCUGGAGCUGGGCAGCUUCUGCAGUGCAUCAGCUGAACUGCUCUGUAGGAGGGAGAUUAUACACAACACGACAGUGUGCUUCUUCUGCUGCAUCUUUCAGAGACUGCAGGAUUUGCAGGCAGAGGUGAGCCACACUCUCUUUGCAGAUGACUCUCUUCACCUGGACACUGCAACUUCUGUGCUGGAAGCCCCCACUUGGGAGAAGAGAUAGCAAAGGGGCUCUUCAGAAUCACCCAGGCAAAGUCAUCUGCAUUGAAGCUGGUUUGAAACUGGACUGUGCUAACCUUGGAGAUUCUACACCAAAACAGAUUGAGCAGUGCUCACUUAUUUGACUGCACCUGAUGAUGAGCUGGAUGAGGCCCUUGUGCCCAGUGGGUGGUCACACGUAGGGAGCCACAGUAGCAUCUGCAGCUGACAAAGCUGGGGCCAGAAGUGUGCCACAGCCAGUGCUUUCAGCCUAGGGGUAGUGACAUUGUGUCUGUGCACUCACCUACCAUGUAAAAGCACCUGCUAAAAUUGAUUUCAGUUUGCUCAUCUUCAAUGGUCUGAGCCUUCCUAUCAGCUAUUCCUUAAAAAAACUGCAAGUGCAGUAAACAAAGGCUUGUACCACAAUCAUCAGAUUAACCACUUCUAAACUGUUUCAUUUAAAGUAAAGCAGCAGCUAUUAUAUUGUCUUGAUUUAAGGCAGCAAAAGCAAGCCCUUGGGUAAAUUAGAGAGUUUUAGUACUUUCAGUAACAGGCAGCAAUACCUGGUGGUUUGCUGAGUUGGCAUUAUUGCAUGAAUAUAUAUAGGGUCAUGUCACCUGAGUGACAUGGACACAACAAUAUGGAGGUAGUAACUUUAGCCAUGUACAUUGGGUUUUUAUCAGAACAGCUCAGAUAUUGCCAGCAGAGAGAUGGAUUCCAGAAAUUCUGCCUCCAUGUGGCCUGCUUUUCUAUCCCCAAACAGCCUCUUUGGCCAAUACUGGGCAUGCUUUUAAAUACUCUGGAGUGAUUAAUCCACCAAAUGUUGGCUGUCUGGCCCUUUAACCCAGCAAAGAUUUUAGCAAAGGGUUGCCAUUUUAAUAGAGAACAAAAUGUAGUUUUCAAUUGUCUACUGAGAUAUAGGGAGAAAUAACAAAACCAUUAUUCACUUUAUUCACACAGAAGAAUAUUUAGAAGCUCCCACAAAAUAAUUUGAUAUCUCCUUUGCACCCAUUUUUCCCUGCAGUAUGAUCCAUCUAUGUUUUAAGACUGGAAUAGAUUUGCCAUCCUAGAUAAAAACCUCUUCCCCAUGUCUACACAAUAUACACGUUUAGUAAAACACAAACCUUGUCUUUUUGCAGUCCUGACACCUAUAUAGAGGAUAUCCUUCCCCAUGGAUGCCUUUUUCUAAUGUAGUUGUCUCUACAAUACUAUAAUAAUAUACUUUUUAAUGAUAAUAAAAGCAACUAGAUGGCCUCA